AUGGUUUUUAUACGACCGCAAAAAAAUUUUGUGGUCGUAUAUUGGUAUGACGUUGGCGUCGUCGUCCGAAGACACAUUGGUUUUCGCACUCUAACUUUAGUUUAAGUGAAUGGAUCUUUUUGAAAUUUGACCAUAAGGUUAAAUACCACUAAAGGAAGGUUGGGAUUGAUUUUGGGGGUUAUGGUACCAACAGUUAAGGAAUUAGGGGCCAAAAAGGGCCCAAAAAUAAGCAUUUUCUAGUUUCCAGACAAUAACUGUGGAACGGUGUAUGGAUCUCUCUGAAAUUAUACUACAAGUUUCCAUACCACAAAGGGAUGGUUAGGAUUUGCUUUGGGGGGUUAUGGCUCAAACCGUUUAGGAAUUAGGGGCAAAAAAGGGGGAAAACAAGGUUGUCCUGGUUAAUGGACAAAUACUUUUAGUACAAAACAUAAUUUAAAGCAGUGUAAGGGAGAUAAAUCAAAUACAUCAUUGAAAUUAUCUCCCUUACACUGCUUUUAAAUUAUGUAUAAAGUAAUGGUUAAUGAACAAUAAAGAUAAUUUAAAACAGUGUAAGGGAGGUAAUCCAAAUACAACGUUUUGGUUACUUCCCUUACACUGCUUUUAAAUUAUGUGUAAAGAAAUGCAUAUUUAUAAAGGAAGACCAGUAAAAAUAUCUGCAAAUGUUGCAUCUUUUUUUUUUUACAAUAAAAUCCAUAUGAAGGUCCAAAGGGUCCAAAAUUAAACUUUGUUUGAUUUUAGCAAAAAUUGAAUAUAUGAGGUUCUUUGAUAUGCUGAAUCUAAACAUGUAUUUAGAUUUUUGAUUUUUGGCCCAGUUUUCAAGUUGGUCCAAAUUGGGGUCCAAAAUUAAACUUUGUUUGAUUUCAACAAAAAUUGAAUAUAUGGGGUUCUUUGAUAUGCUGAAUCUAACCAUGUAUUUAGAUUUUUUAUUUGUGGACCCCGUUAUCAAAUUGGUUCAUAUUGAGGUCAAAAGGGUCCAAAAUUAAACUUUGUUUGAUUUCAUCUAAAAUUGAAUUAUUGGGGUUCUUUGAUAUUCCAAAUCUAACCGUGUAUUUAGAUUUUUAAUUUUGGGUCCUGUUUUUUAAAUUGGUCUACAUUAAGGUCCAAAGGGUCCAAAAUUAAACUUAGUUUGAUUUUAGCAAAAAUUGAAUUCUUGGGGUUCUUUGAUAUGCUGAAUCUAAACAUGUGUUUAGAUUUUUGAUUAUGGGCCCAGUUUUCAAGUUGGUCCAAGUUGGGGUCCAAAAUUAAACUUUGUUUGAUUUCAACAAAAAUUGAAUAUAUGGGGUUCUUUGAUAUGCUGAAUCUAACCAUGAAUUUAGAUUUUUUAUUUGUGGGCCCCACUAUCAAAUUGGUUCAUAUUGAGGUCAAAAGGGUCCAAAAUUAAACUUUGUUUGAUUUCAUCAAAAAUUGAAUUAUUGGGGUUCUUUGAUAUUCCAAAUCUAACCGUGUAUUUAGAUUUUUAAUUUUAAGUCCCGUUUUUUAAAUUGGUCUACAUUAAGGUCCAAAGGGUCCAAAAUUAAACUUUGUUUGAUUUUAGCAAAAAUUGAAUUCUUGGGGUUCUUUGAUAUGCUGAAUCUAAACAUGUGUUUCGAUUUUUGAUUAUGGGCCCAGUUUUCAAGUUUGUUCAAGUUGGGGUCCAAAAUUAAACUUUGUUUGAUUUUAACAAAAAUUGAAUAUAUGGGGUUCUUUGAUAUGCUGAAUCUAACCAUGUAUUUUGAUUUUGGACAUUGGACCAUAAUAGGUAAAUUAAAAAAAAUUCAAAUUCUUAGACCACAUUCUUUCUGUGUCAGAAACCUAUGCUGUGUCAAAUAUUUAAUAACAAUCCAAAUUCAGAGCUGUAUCAAGCUUGAAUGUUGUGUCCAUACUUGCCCCAACUGUUCAGGGUUCGAUCUCUGCGGUCGUAUCAAGCUGCGCCCCAGCGAAGCAUUUUAUUUUUUGUU